AGCUCCAAUAGCGUAUAUUAAAGUUGCUGCAGUUAAAAAGCUCGUAGUUGGAUCUCAGGGUACCUGGUCUAGCCGGCAUAGCUCACGCUAAAACUGGUCUGACCCCCUAACGUGAGGUAUUCGUCUCCGGUUGCACUUCAAUGGGUGCUAAUGAGGGGCCUCGUAGUUACUGUGAAAACAUUAGAGUGUUCAAAGCAGGCUCAUAUGUUCGGAUAGUCGUGCAUGGAAUAACUGAAUACGUGACUGGCGCUGUUCAGUUGGUCUCGGCGACUGGUCAAAUGAUUAAGAGGGACUGCCGGGGGCAUUGGUAUGGCGGGGUUAGAGGUGAAAUUCUUGGAUCCUCGCCAGACCAACAAAAGGGAAAGCAUUUGCCAAAAAUGUCCUCA
rnacentral:rRNA from 1 species